rnacentral:rRNA from 1 species
CCCUUAGAUGUUCUGGGCCGCACGCGCGCUACACUGAUGCGUUCAACGAGUUUACAACCUUGAUCGAAAGGUCUGGGUAAUCUUUUGAAUGCGCAUCGUGCUAGGGAUAGAUUAUUGCAAUUAUUAAUCUUGAACGAGGAAUUCCUAGUAAACGCAAGUCAUCAGCUUGCAUUGAUUACGUCCCUGCCCUUUGUACACACCGCCCGUCGCACCUACCGAUUGAAUGACUCGGUGAAACAUUGGGACCACGAGGUCACUUGCUUCAUUGCGAGAGACUUUGAGGGAACUUUAGUAAACCUANUNAUUUAUNGGAAGGUGAANUCGUANCA